UCAUUGGUGAAGUGGUAUCACGGCGGUCUCCAAAACCGCAGUCCGAAGUUCGAUUCUUCGAUGAU
rnacentral:tRNA from 1 species